rnacentral:rRNA from 1 species
UACGUAGGGUGCGAGCGUUGUCCGGAAUUAUUGGGCGUAAAGGGCUCGUAGGCGGUUUGUCGCGUCGGGAGUGAAAACUCAGGGCUUAACCCUGAGCCUGCUUCCGAUACGGGCAGACUAGAGGUAUGCAGGGGAGAACGGAAUUCCUGGUGUAGCGGUGAAAUGCGCAGAUAUCAGGAGGAACACCGGUGGCGAAGGCGGUUCUCUGGGCAGUUACCUGACGCUGAGGAGCGAAAGUGUGGGGAGCGAACAGG